CCUACGGGUGGUAGCAGUGGGGAAUAUUGGACAAUGGGCGAAAGCCUGAUCCAGCCAUGCCGCGUGUGUGAAGAAGGCCUUCGGGUUGUAAAGCACUUUCAGUGGGGAAGAAAGCCUUGGGGCUAAUACCCUCGAGGAAGGACAUCACCCACAGAAGAAGCACCGGCUAACUCCGUGCCAGCAGCCGCGGUAAUACGGAGGGUGCGAGCGUUAAUCGGAAUUACUGGGCGUAAAGCGCGCGUAGGCGGUCUGAUAAGCCGGUUGUGAAAGCCCCGGGCUCAACCUGGGAACGGCAUCCGGAACUGUCAGGCUAGAGUGCAGGAGAGGAAGGUAGAAUUCCCGGUGUAGCGGUGAAAUGCGUAGAGAUCGGGAGGAAUACCAGUGGCGAAGGCGGCCUUCUGGACUGACACUGACGCUGAGGUGCGAAAGCGUGGGUAGCAAACAGGAUUAGAUACCCUUGUAGUC
rnacentral:rRNA from 1 species